CACACUUAGUGCCUGGGAAGGGUGGAGCAGAGCCCCAGUCCUGAGAGGCCGGGAAGGUGGGAGCAUGCGGGCAGGGGAGCUGGGUCUGCUGUCUUGUCACCUGGAGCGAGUCCGGGCUGAAACCAUCGAAAGACAAAGCAGGCAGAGGAGAGUUCGCUUGACAUGUAACCUUGAGCCCAAGAGAAAAGUGGAAGACUCAAAUCGGAGCAGAACUUGGGUUGAAGAACUUGUUGAACUUUCUUAUGGUCUUAAUUCAGCAUGGUUGUGGUGUUUUGAACACACUGUAAGCAGGUAGCUUCAUCAGAGAACGCAGCUCCUCUAAUGAUAAGUCUAAUGCGCAAGUUAUUUUCUUCCCAAGGCUAAAGGAAGACAUUAAAUGAUACUGUGGGAGACCAAAUACCACUUGAAACUCACGUUAGGAACCUGCCCUGCACAUCCUACAGUGUAGGUAGCUGGAGACACGCUAAUUCUGUGAGGAGCUGGUGAUUUAUAUAGACAACUACGAACUUUUACGCCAUCGCAGGGACAAUUGCAGUAACAUUCGGCAUCAUUAAAAAGUACUCAUAAAUGCUCACAUUCGGUGCAGUGG